rfam:Operophtera brumata OBRT01_Sc18129, whole genome shotgun sequence.
CGGCCAGUAGGCGAAGCGGUCUAACGCAUCUCCGUAUCAAGGAUACAGUCGCGGGUUCGAUUCCCGUCAGGUUGA